rnacentral:rRNA from 1 species
GUGUCAGCCGCCGCGGUAAUACGUAGGGGGCGAGCGUUGUCCGGAAUCACUGGGCGUAAAGGGCGCGUAGGCGGUCAGGUAAGUCAGAUGUGAAAGACCGAGGCUCAACCUUGGGGUUGCAUUUGAAACUGCUUGACUUGAGUGCAGGAGAGGGAGGUGGAAUUCCCGGUGUAGCGGUGAAAUGCGUAGAUAUUGGGAGGAACACCAGUGGCGAAGGCGACUACCUGGACGAUAACUGACGCUGAGGCACGAAAGCUAGGGGAGCAAACAGGAUUAGAUACCCUGGUAGUCCUAGCCGUAAACGAUGGGUACUAGGUGUGGGUGGUUUCGAUACCAUCCGUGCCGUAGUUAUCGCAUUAAGUACCCCGCCUGGGGAGUACGGCCGCAAGGUUGAAACUCAAAGAAAUUGGCGG